rnacentral:lncRNA from 1 species
UUAUAACUUAACUUAUAAAUUUUUGUUAAUAAUUAAAAAAAAAGAAAAAGAAACAAAGAGAAAAAGAGUUAAAAAUCAGAAUUGGGCCAAUUUUCGGAAUUAAAACUAGACCCAAAACAUCCCCUACCCAACCCAAAAAUCCUUGACCCGGUCCACCACCACAAAUAACCAAAACCUUAGUCUAACUUAUUCACUUCAGCCGCAUAUGCAG